rnacentral:ncRNA from 1 species
AGCUAAGCGCAGGGGUCCUGCAACGUGAGUUGUGGGUGAGAAAUACCCUUAGAACCUGAUCUGGAUAAUGCCAGCGCAGGGAGCGUAGAAAUUCCUCGC